UGCGCAGUGUAUUGCCCAGCGAUGCUAAUAUUCCCGACCUGCCAGCUGUACAGGUUAGUGCGCACUGACGGGAUAGUCGUUGCUGCAUCACAACGCCAGUUGCUUUCCUGUAAUGUUUUUGUGUGUUUUUAAAUUUACAACAAGUGUUCCUUGCUAAUAUCAGCGGCUUUCACCGAGGCUUUAUAUCAAUUAACCGACUUCAUUGCGAAAGUGAAUCUUUUAAAAUGGAUUUGUUACUAGAUGUGUACAGCCAGAUUUUUCCCUUUGGAUUUUGGAAACAGUUCCAUUUAGUGGUGGUCUCAAUGUUGCAGGAAGACGGUGUAAUCCGGCUGACACCGGGCACCUUCGGGUAGAUAGCUUCGAA